UGCUCAUGAUGAUGUUCAGCAAACUCCUCCUAUUUUGCAGCAAGAGGAGGAUUUACCUAUUGCUCAACGCAAGUCAAAAAGGACAGUUGUACCUCCCAAACGUCUCAUUGAAGAAUGUAAUUUGUCUUACUAUGCUUUGAGUUGUGCUGAACAGGUGGAGAAUGUUCAUGAGCCAGCAACCUACAAAGAGGUUGUUCGUUGUGGUGAUAGUGAGAAUUGGAUUUCUGCUAUGCAUGAGGAGAUGCAGUCUCUUGAGAAGAACAGUACAUGGGAGGUAGUACCUUUGCCUAAGAAAAAGAAGACUAUCAACUGCAAAUGGAUCUUCAAGAUAAAGGAGGGUUUAUCUCCAAGUGAGCCUCUAAAGUACAAGGCAAGGUUAGUAGCCAAAGGAUAUAGUCAAAUUCCGGGUGUUGACUAUAAUGAUGUAUUCUCUCCAGUGGUAAAACAUAGUUCAAUUCGUACUUUCCUAAGUAUUGUUGCUUCACAUGAUCUUGAGCUUGAGCAGUUAGAUGUGAAGACUGCGUUUUUGCAUGGAGAGCUUGAGGAGGACAUAUACAUGGACCAACCGGAAGGGUUCAUAUUGCCUGGCAAGGAGAAAUAUGUGUGCAAGUUGAAGCGAUCCUUGUAUGGUUUGAAACAGUCCCCUCGUCAGUGGAACAAGAGAUUAUGCUGCUGAUCUGGACAGGCGAAGAUCACUUACAGGUUAUGUGUUUACUGUUGGCAGUUGUGCUGUGAGUUGGAGGGCUACUUUACAGUCUGUUGUUGCUUUGUCUACUACUGAAGCAGAAUAUAUGGCUAUUUGUGAAGCGUGCAAAGAAUUAAUUUGGCUAAAAGGUUUGUACGCUGAGCUGUGUGGAGUUGAAUCUUGCAUAAGUUUGCAUUGUGAUAGUCAAAGUGCAAUUUACCUCACUAAAGAUCAGAUGUUCCAUGA